rnacentral:rRNA from 1 species
GACGAACGCUGGCGGCGUGCUUAACACAUGCAAGUCGAACGAAGAGCGAUGGAAGCUUGCUUCUAUCAAUCUUAGUGGCGAACGGGUGAGUAACGCGUAAUCAGCCUGCCCUUCAGAGGGGGACAACAGUUGGAAACGACUGCUAAUACCGCAUACGAUCUAAUCUCGGCAUCGAGGAUAGAUGAAAGGUGGCCUCUACAUGUAAGCUAUCACUGAAGGAGGGGAUUGCGUCUGAUUAGCUAGUUGGAGGGGUAACGGCCCACCAAGGCGAUGAUCAGUAGCCGGUCUGAGAGGAUGGACGGCCACAUUGGGACUGAGACACGGCCCAGACUCCUACGGGAGGCAGCAGUGGGGAAUCUUCCGCAAUGGACGAAAGUCUGACGGAGCAACGCCGCGUGAGUGAUGACGGCCUUCGGGUUGUAAAGCUCUGUUAAUCGGGACGAAAGGCCUUCUUGCGAACAGUUAGAAGGAUUGACGGUACCGGAAUAGAAAGCCACGGCUAACUACGUG